AUCCCAUCUGAUAAAGCCGGUUGAAGCUUGGCUUUUAUGCAUUCGCUUUUGGGACGGGGACUGCUGGGUCCCUCCCACCAAUAAUAAAUGCUUGUCUGUUUGUGUUUGAAAUUUUGAGCCAUUUCAUAUUUGGGGUCUGUGAGUCUGUCUCUGACAUCGGGCCUGACCAACCUUGAACUGCUGCUGCUUGGCAAUUUCACUGCCUCCUUUUUGCCUUUUUGUUUUGUGCUUUUUCCCCCCCUUGUUUGUGGUUCUCUAGAUAAUGUGGAUGCGGA
rnacentral:lncRNA from 1 species